UAGCGAAAUUCCUUGUCAGGUAAGUUCUGACCCGCACGAAAGGCGUAACGAUUUGGGCGCUGUCUCAGCUGUAGACUCGGUGAAGUCUUAGUACCUGUGAAGAUGCAGGUUACCCGCGACUAGACGGAAAGACCCCAUGGAGCUUCACUGCAGGUUGAUAUUGGGAUUUGAUGCAGCAUGUACAGGAUAGGUAGGAGGCAAAGAGAUGGAUACGCCAGUAUUCAAGGAGCCGCUGUUGGGAUACUACCCCUGUUGUAUUGGAUUUCUAACCGGACGACGUAGAGCCGUUGACGGGACAGUGUCAGUCGGGCAGUUUGACUGGGGCGGUCGCCUCCCAAAGAGUAACGGAGGCGCCCAAAGAUACCCUCAGCUUGGAUGGAAACCAAGCGCAGAGUGCAAAGGCAAAAGGGUGUUUGACUGCGAGACCCACAAGUCGAGCAGGGACGAAAGUCGGGCUUAGUGAUCCGGCGGUGCUGAAUGGAAAGGCCGUCGCUCAACGGAUAAAAGCUACCCUGGGGAUAACAGGCUGAUCUCCCCCAAGAGUUCACAUCGACGGGGAGGUUUGGCACCUCGAUGUCGGCUCAUCGCAUCCUGGAGCUGAAGUCGGUUCCAAGGGUUGGGCUGUUCGCCCAUUAAAGCGGUACGCGAGCUGGGUUCAGAACGUCGUGAGACAGUUCGGUCCCUAUCUGUCGUGGGCGCAGGAAAUUUGAGAAGAGCUGUCCUCAGUACGAGAGGACCGGGAUGGACGCAUCAAUGGUGGACCAGUUGUCACGCCAGUGGCAUAGCUGGGUAGCUAAAUGCGGAAGGGAUAAACGCUGAAGGCAUCUAAGUGUGAAACCCACUUCAAGAUGAGAUUUCCCAUUGCGCAAGCAAGUAAGACCCCUUAAAGACGAUAAGGUAGAUAGGUCAGGAGUGUAAGCAUGGUGACAUGUUAAGCGGACUGAUACUAAUAGGUCGAGGGCUUGACCGA
rnacentral:rRNA from 1 species